UCCCGGCGUGCCCCUGACGUCACCACGGCCCAGCGUGCGGGCCUGCGCCAUCUUGCUGAAUCAUGUCGGAGAAGAAGGCGCCGGUCGACCUCGGCUUGUUGGAGGAGGACGAUGAGUUCGAGGAGUUCCCCGCUGAAGGUGAGCGCCCUUCGGACCGCGCCGCCGCACUGGGCGGACCUUUUCCGCCUGAUGUCUCCGUCUGUCCCCGGGCUUGCGGCCGAGUGCUGGACUGGUUUAGAUGAAGAUGAAGAUGCCCAUGUCUGGGAAGAUAACUGGGAUGAUGACAAUGUAGAGGACGAUUUUUCUAACCAGUUAAGAGCUGAAUUAGAAAAAUUUGGAUACAAGAUGGAAACCUCAUAGGUGGAGUUCUGCAGGAUAAGAAUGUCUCUGGAAAAUAUAGAAUAAAGAAUUCUGCACACAUGUUCAAAAUGGUCUGUGGCAAAUGUAACACUGGAAAUGAGAUGUAAUAGAAACUGAAAUGUUGUUCAACAUUUGCAAAGGAGGACACAAUUUUCUUGUGAAUUUUCCUUUUUAUUUUCAUAAAUUGUUUUGAAACGUAAUGUCGUCUGCAAAGUUUUUCUUCUCCUCUAUAAUGGUGCCAUUCAUGGCAGAACACUAUGCUGAGUGUAAACACGUACAAAACCCCGAGAAUCCACAAAACCUGCUUUACAGAUUUCAUCAAAGCUAUAAUUUUUCAGCAGGUACAAAAGAUCAAAUCAUAAAUCAAAUCUUUGUUUUUGAGAUUCAUGUAUGUCUACAUUUUACAAAAUAAAAUGGCAUUACAAAAUAAA